GAUGAACGCUGGCGGCGUGCCUAAUACAUGCAAGUCGAGCGAACAGAUGAGGAGCUUGCUCCUCUGACGUUAGCGGCGGACGGGUGAGUAACACGUGGAUAACCUACCUAUAAGACUGGGAUAACUUCGGGAAACCGGAGCUAAUACCGGAUAAUAUAUUGAACCGCAUGGUUCAAUAGUGAAAGACGGUUUUGCUGUCACUUAUAGAUGGAUCCGCGCCGCAUUAGCUAGUUGGUAAGGUAACGGCUUACCAAGGCAACGAUGCGUAGCCGACCUGAGAGGGGGAUCGGCCACACUGGAGCUGAGACGCGGUCCAGGCUCCGACGGGAGGCAGCAGUAGGGAAUCUUCCGCAGAGGGCGAAAGCCUGACGGAGCAACGCCGCGUGAGUGAUGAAGGUCUUCGGAUCGUAAAACGCUGUUAUUAGGGAAGAACAAAUGUGUAAGUAACUAUGCACGUCUUGACGGUACCGAAUCAGAAAGCCACGGCUAACUACGU
rnacentral:rRNA from 1 species